CCUACGGGAGGCAGCAGUGGGGAAUUUUGGACAAUGGGCGCAAGCCUGAUCCAGCCAUUCCGCGUGAGUGAAGAAGGCCUUCGGGUUGUAAAGCUCUUUCGCAAGGGAAGAAACGAUACUGGUAAAUAAUCAGUGUUAAUGACGGUACCUUGAUAAGAAGCACCGGCUAACUACGUGCCAGCAGCCGCGGUAAUACGUAGGGUGCGAGCGUUAAUCGGAAUUACUGGGCGUAAAGCGUGCGCAGGCUGUUUUGUAAGUCAGAUGUGAAAUCCCCGAGCUCAACUUGGGAACUGCGUUUGAAACUACAAGACUAGAAUAUGUCAGAGGGGGGUAGAAUUCCACGUGUAGCAGUGAAAUGCGUAGAGAUGUGGAGGAAUAUCAAUGGCGAAGGCAGCCCCCUGGGGUAAUAUUGACGCUCAUGCACGAAAGCGUGGGGAGCAAACAGGAUUAGAUACCCUGGUAGUCCACGCCCUAAACGAUGUCAACUAGUUGUUGGUAGAGUAAAAUCUAUGAGUAACGCAGCUAACGCGUGAAGUUGACCGCCUGGGGAUACGAUCGCAAGAUUAAAACUCAAAUGAAAUUGACGG
rnacentral:rRNA from 1 species